rnacentral:rRNA from 1 species
UACGAAGGGGGCUAGCGUUGCUCGGAAUCACUGGGCGUAAAGCGCACGUAGGCGGACUCUUAAGUCGGGGGUGAAAUCCUGGAGCUCAACUCCAGAACUGCCUUCGAUACUGGGAGUCUGGAGUUCGGGAGAGGUGAGUGGAACUGCGAGUGUAGAGGUGAAAUUCGUAGAUAUUCGCAAGAACACCAGUGGCGAAGGCGGCUCACUGGCCCGAUACUGACGCUGAGGUGCGAAAGCGUGGGGAGCAAACAGG